ensembl:lncRNA
AAUAUUUUUAAUUAAACACAAUAUUACAUUUUACAGUGUAUGAGGGUUUGUAGUUAAAUUCCUGCUCUUACAGGAUCAGUGAGUGUCUGUUUAAAGAUUAUGAAGAUAAUUUUACAUCACUAUGGAACACCAGCACUUCUGCAGAGGACAGAACCCCCUGCCUUAAUCUACCAUGAUGCUCUGUGUUAUGUUGUCAUGGCAAUAAAAAGUCAAAUAAAUACAAAUAUACAAAAAUGCACAUUUAAAGGAGGACAAGAAGACAAGCAACUGGAAGAGCUUUUGAAGCAGGAAAACUUUUGUGGAUUUCUCUGAAUUUAACUGGAAAUUUUGCUAAUAUGAGUCAGGGAGGAAACAAGGAGGCAGCUGGUUGGAUUAUAUCUGAGGACAGGACGCAUGAAGGAGAAGCAUGAGGAGAGAGAAAACAGCAGAGCGAUGGUGCAGAGCUAACCGUGGAUCAAGUCGAAGAAGCAAGCAUCAAAACUGUGAGUAAACAUAACACACAAAGAGUUAAAAAUUACUGUGCUGAUUAAGGAAACAUUAAAUUUGGUUAGUUUUGGGUCUGGAGCUUCAGGUUUGUGGGUUCAGUUGGUCUCAAAAUUGAGGAAAGACAAAAAAUGUUUCUUUUGAAAGGUUGUUGGAGGAUUCUUACUGUAAGAAAUAUCUGGGUGCAUCUGCUUUUAUUUAAAAAAAAAAAAAAAGUUGAAUUUUAUUUAGUCACAUUAGAAAGAGAAAAUUGGAGGAUCAGGACAAUAAUGUGGUCAAAUUUACUGUUUCCUUAAUCAAAACAAUAAUUUUGAUCUGAACUAGAAAUUUUGCAAUGGGUUAUUUUCUUUCUUCUCUACUGAUCACUGUGUUGAAUGUUUAGUUACUUGUCAGUCUACAUGUUAAUGGUACUUUAAAAAAAAAUGCAGUUUAAUCAUAAUUUUGUAGAAAAAGGCUCUGCACCUGUGAAAAAAAAUAGGUUUCCACAAAAUCACUGUAGAUGAGAGUAGCUAAGCCCUGGUUAAUUGCAAUUAUAUCACAGGAGAUGAAAAAUUUUGGAAUGAUUGAAAGAAACAAAGAUUGCUUUAGGGUUUGAAUAUUUGACUUUCUUAUUGAAAGAGAUGAAAACUAAUCCAUGUGUGACAAUGAGAAAAAACAGAAAACUUAAAAAUAUCUGGAGGUCCAACUGUGCAAACUUGUUUUAAUGACAUUAGAAAAAAAAUGGGAUAUUAAAAAAGUAAUAUAUAAAAUUGAUUUUUAUAUUACUUGAAAAAAUUAUGUUGGUUAGCGCUGCUGUAUUUGGAAAAAUGCUGGGUCACUAGUAAGCUGAGAUUUAUUGUGAUAAACUGAAGAUAGGAUAGGUAAUAUAAUCUUCACACUCGCUAUUAUUGUUGUAAUCCAUACACCAGUUAAUAUUUAAUCAAACAUCAAUCAUAAUUUGUGAUCAAUGCCAGUUUUAAGCAAUAAUAUUUAUUUGCUUUCCCAACUAAUUUCCAAAUAUAAAAAAGAAUCUUGGUUUUUUAAGAAAAAAGACGUUUCUAACUGACUUCAAACUUAAGUAGAUUGAUGAGCACGCAAUAAAGUGGACUUGUUAAGGAGAGUUUGCCAUCAACUCGAUUUUUGAUGACAGACACAGCUAAAAAAAAAGGAGCAUUUUGUUGACACUGAUAUGUGGACCGAUCACAUGGUUAUAAAGCAGGUGAAAAUUGACUUCAAACUUUUGAGCUGUAGUGUAGAUUGAUUGCAAUGAUAGUGUAUAGUUAUCUAUUACAGAAGAAUAUAUAGAAGUAUGAGGACAGGGAGACACUGUGAAAAAGUUAUGAGCUGUCUUGCUGCAGAGAAAGUGGAGUCUGUCAUCCUUGAAAAGCUCCCAAGAUAGGCAGCUGGCAGGAUUGAAUGAUGCUCUGCCUCUGUGGUCAAGUACAGACAUAGGCCUUAAGCAACCAUGAGCCACUGAUAAGCGUGACACAUUAGGAAACAUGCAUAAAGUACAUUAGUUAGACACUGAUGAGCCUCUAAUAGGAGAAAAUGAGCACGCAAUAAAGUGGACUUGUUAGGGAGAGAUUGCCAUCAGACUUAAAACACUCCAACUCAAUUUUGAUGAUAGACACAGCUAAAAAAAUGAGCGUUUUGUUGACACUGAUGACAAAAUCCUGAUCAGAUACAGACAGACACAUGCAUACAACACACACUACUGCUCAAAAGUUUGUGAUCAGAUUCAAACAGUCAUCUUUUAAUUAAUAAUUUACAUUUACUUUAACGUAAUAUUACAAAAGGUUAUCAGUAAUGUUUUCACAGAUGUGUGUUUAAUGAAUCAUUUAUGUUAAAUCACCCAUGAUGCAUUAGGAAAUGUCUACACAGUUAUGCAUGGGCCCAUUUUUAGUAACAAUCACUCCUGUGUGGACCGAUCACAUGGUUAUAAAGCAGGUGAAAACUGACUUCAAACUUUUGAGCUGUAGUGUAGCUUGAUUGCAAUGAUAGUGUAUAGUUAUCUAUUACAGAAGAAUAUAUAGAAGUAUGAGGACAGGGAGACACUGUGAAAAAGUUAUGAGCUGUCUUGCUGCAGAGAAAGUGGAGUCUGUCAUCCUUGAAAAGCUCCCAAGAUAGGCAGCUGGCAGGAUUGAAUGAUGCUCUGCCUCUGUGGUCAAGUACAGACAUAGGCCUUAAGCAACCAUGAGCCACUGAUAAGCGUGACACAUUAGGAAACAUGCAUAAAGUACAUUAGUUAGACACUGAUGAGCCUCUAAUAGGAGAAAAUGAGCACGCAAUAAAGUGGACUUGUUAGGGAGAGAUUGCCAUCAGACUUAAAACACUCCAACUCAAUUUUGAUGAUAGACACAGCUAAAAAAAUGAGCAUUUUGUUGACACUGAUGACAAAAUCCUGAUCAGAUACAGACAGACACAUGCAUACAACACACACUACUGCUCAAAAGUUUGUGAUCAGAUUCAAACAGUCAUCUUUUAAUUAAUAAUUUACAUUUACUUUAACGUAAUAUUACAAAAGGUUAUCAGUAAUGUUUUCACAGAUGUGUGUUUAAUGAGUCAUUUAUGUUAAAUCACCCAUGAUGCAUUAGGAAAUGUCUACACAGUUAUGCAUUGGCCAAUUUUUAGUAACAAUCACUCCUGUGUGGACCGAUCACAUGGUUAUAAAGCAGGUGAAAACUGACUUCAAACUUUUGAGCUGUAGUGUAGCUUGAUUGCAAUGAUAGUGUAUAGUUAUCUAUUACAGAAGAAUAUAUAGAAGUAUGAGGACAGGGAGACACUGUGAAAAAGUUAUGAGCUGUCUUGCUGCAGAGAAAGUGGAGUCUGUCAUCCUUGAAAAGCUCCCAAGAUAGGCAGCUGGCAGGAUUGAAUGAUGCUCUGCCUCUGUGGUCAAGUACAGACAUAGGCCUUAAGCAACCAUGAGCCACUGAUAAGCGUGACACAUUAGUAUUAAUAAGCAUGUAAAAGUGGACUUGUUAAACAGCUAUGAGUCACUGAUAAGAAAAAAACAAUGAGCACGCAAUAAAGUGGACUUGUUAGGGAGAGAUUGCCAUGAGAGUUAAAACACAAAGUUUACCAGUAAUGUUUUCACAGAUGUGUAUUUAAUGAAUCAUUUACGUUAAAUCACCCAUGAUGCAUUAGGAAAUGUCUACACAGUUAUACAUGGGCCAAGUUUUAGAAACAAUUACUCCUGUAUGGACCAAUCACAUGUUAUAAAUACAGUACAAAUUUGACUUAAUCAAAACAAAAACAGUAAAUUGGAUGAUCCAUCACAAAUCUCUAAAAUUUACUGUUUUUCAUCCGCACAAUGAUUUUGGUUUGUGCUGAUAUCUUUGGAAAAAGGUUUCUUGACUGACAAGUUGGGAUCUAACAUCACAAACUGAUAUCUGGUACCACAAUGUACCAAAUGAAAAUGGGCCUCUGUAGAUGUCAUGGUUCCCUUGCCCCCUUUUGCUGGCCUGCUUCUUUCUCUCUCUCUCCUCUUUCGGUGUGUGCCUGUGUUGUUGUCCGUGUGUUUGUCUUUUUUAGGGGAUGCUCCUCCACCUUCCUGUCCUUCAGUCACUUGUCAACAAUCAGCUGAUUACUCGCCUGUUCCUCACGAGGUCUUCAUGCUGGCUUCUAAACAACCAGAUCAUUGCAUUACCAAGACGUUUCAGCGUUACGGAUCUCCGCAACCUUCUGUGACAGUGUCUGAGUGUGCCUUCAGACAACCUUCACUACCUCUGCCCCGUCUCCUGGAGCCCACAGUGUUUAUCCUGUAUUCAUAACUAUCUG